CAUGUCCUUUUGAUAAUAAUUUAAGGUCUAAUCUGCUCAAUGAAAGUUUUAAAUUGCCGCAGUAUUUUGACUGUGCAAAGGUAGCAUAAUAAUUAGUUCCUUAAUUAGGAACUGGAAUGAAUGAUUGGACAAGAAAAUUACUGUCUCUUUUUUAAUUUUGUUGAAUUUUAUUUUUAAGUGAAAAAGCUUAAAUGUUUAUAAAAGACGAGAAGACCCUAUAGAGUUUAAUAUUCUUAAUUAAUUUAAAUUUAGAAUCUUUUUUUAGUUAGGUUUAUUUAGUUGGGGUGAUUUAAAGAUUAAUAAAAUUCUUUAAUAAUUUAAUUGGAGAUUUCUAAAUUUUAAAUCUAAAGUUUUUAAAACUAAAAUAAAUUACCUUAGGGAUAACAGCGUAAUUUUUCUUAAAAGUUCACAUUGAAAGAAAAGUUUGCGACCUCGAUGUUGGAUUAAAAUUAAUUUUUGGUGCAAUAACUUAAAAAUUAGGUCUGUUCGACCUUUAAAAUUUUACAUGAUCUGAGUUUAAACCGGUGUAAACCAGGUUGGAUUCUAUCUUUAGAAAGUUAUUAUAUUUUAGUACGAAAGGACCAAAUAUAAGUUAGAUUAAUUG
rnacentral:rRNA from 1 species